rnacentral:snoRNA from 1 species
CCGCCCUGUGAUUAUAAAAAGACGCGUUAUUCUGAGGGACUCCACUGGAUGGCAGUUUUCUUACUUUGUCUGCUCUUUGUUUAUUACUCGUCCUGUUUUUUCUCUCCUCCUCAUGCUUCUCUUCUAUCCCUCACUCUUAAACUGCCAGCCAGUCCACUGACUGCGAUUAUGAGAUAUGAGGGUGU